GAUGAACGCUGGCGGUAUGCCUAACACAUGCAAGUCGAACGGACUCUUCGGAGUUAGUGGCGCACGGGUGCGUAACGCGUGGGAAUCUGGCCUUGGGUUCGGGAUAACUACUGGAAAUGUGUGCUAAUACCGGAUAAUGUCUUCGGACAAAGGAUUUAUCGCUGAAGGAUGAGCCCGCGGAAGUUAGGUUAGUUGGUGGGGUAAGACCCAACCAAGGCGAUGAGAUUCAGCUGGUCUGAGAGGAUCAGCAGCACCACUGGGACUGAGCCACGGCCCAGCCUCCGACGGGAAGCAGCAGUGGGUAAUACUGGACAAGGGGCGACAGCAUGAUCCAGCACUGCGGGGGGAAAGAAGAAGGUUGGAGUGUAAUACAGCUCUCUUAGCAGAGAACAUAAUGACAGUACCUGGAGAAUAAGCACCGGCUAACUCCGUG
rnacentral:rRNA from 1 species